CAGAGGAUAGUUUAAAUAAAAUGUUAAUUUUGGGGAUUAAUGAUGGGAAAUACAUAUAUUCUUUCUUCUGA
rnacentral:tRNA from 1 species